CGGUGUCGAUGAUGUCAUCUGUACCUACAUUGUUUGAUGGCUGCUGAGAAAAACCAAACUCUGAGACACCG